CGGACGGGUGAGUAACGCGUGAGAAUCUGCCCUCAGGAGGGGGACAACAGCUGGAAACGGCUGCUAAUACCCCAUAUGCCGAAAGGUGAAACGAUUUUUCGCCUGAGGAUGAGCUCGCGUCUGAUUAGCUGGUUGGUGGGGUAACGGCCUACCAAGGCUUCGAUCAGUAGCUGGUCUGAGAGGACGAUCAGCCACACUGGGACUGAGACACGGCCCAGACUCCUACGGGAGGCAGCAGUAGGGAAUUUUCCGCAAUGGGCGAAAGCCUGACAGAGCAACGCCGCGUGAGGGACUAAGGCCUUUGGGCUGUAAACCUCUUUUCUCAAGGAAGAAGAUCUGACGGUACUUGAGGAAUAAGCCACGGCUAAUUCCGUGCCAGCAGCCGCGGUAAUACGGGAGUGGCAAGCGUUAUCCGGAAUUAUUGGGCGUAAAGCGUCCGCAGGCGGCCAAGCAAGUCUGUUGUUAAAGCGUGGAGCUCAACUCCAUCACUGCAAUGGAAACUGCUAGGCUUGAGUGUGGCAGGGGCAGAGGGAAUUUCCGGUGUAGCAGUGAAAUGCGUAGAUAUCGGGAAGAACACCAGUGGCAAAAGCGCCCUGCUGGGCCAUUACUGACGCUCAUGGACGAAAGCCAGGGGAGCGAAUGGGAUUAGAUACCCCUGUAGUC
rnacentral:rRNA from 1 species